AAAAAUUUUCUUGCCAGAAUGCAGCAACUGUCCAGACAAAACUCAAGAAACCCAAGAUUAUUUAGGAAUACUUUCCUAGACGUCCAAUUGGAUUUUACGACAGCAAUCUCGGUAAAGCAAUUUUCUCCCUAUUCUCCAUAAAUUUUGAGUCGCUAAGUUGAAAGUAAUUAUAUGCCUUAUUGAAGUAUUUUUUAAGAAUUAGAACUAGAAUAUUUUUAUAUAAAGUACUUGGAACCAAAGAAGUAAGAUGACAAACCUGCUUGAUAAGUCACGUCUGACAGUCUGCAGCAACAUUGUUUACAAAAGUCAUCUAUUUAAAGCGGGCAGAGAUAGUGAACUCCAAGGACGUGACUUUGCGCACGGGAUGCUAGAAUGACUACUGCAAGGUGACCCAUUCCGCUUAUUCGUCGACUGGCUUUCUUUUUCGUUCUAGAGCUCUUGACUUUGCGAUUACAUCAGGGUCAGACGGAAUUAUUCACAAUGAAGGGAAAAAAAACAUAAAAACAAUGCUUUUAUUGGCAUGCCUAAUUAACGUUAAAAUGACACGAUGGUAGUCUUUUGAAUGCAGCAAUGAUGGCAAUAAUUUUUUUUUUCUAUUUAAGAUAAGAGAAUAAUGCGAUGUGGAAUGUUGAAUGGAAUCGCUUGAAUGACCGCAGCAGUACAAAUUAAUUGCUUGGAUAAGGAAACCUUCACUUCUGUCGGAUAUCCCCGUAAAAAAGCCAUUUUUAAGUCUUCAAAAUAGUGGAAAAGGGAGUGACACGGCCACUGUUACUUGAAACCAUCAACUUUCCGGGAAGCAGCCUGCGUCAACUGAGGAAAAAGUUGGAAGUGUUGUAUGACAGAUCAAAUGUAAAUUAAUUUGAUUUACUUGACAGAUACCUUACAAGGCAGGAAGGUGGACUUGACACAUAUGAUGGUUGGGUAGAGGUUUUACUCGGUUUUCAACUCAAUCUUCUCUUUUCUAAUGUUUUUUUUUGUAGUGUUGGCGUUGUUUCCUUUACACGCUGUGAUUGAUGUGGAAAUAACCUACAAAUAAUGACGAUGCAUUCUUCUUAAUCGGCACAUCCAAUCAUGUAUGAUGAAAAGCGUAUUCAAAUACCUCUUGAAAUUUCUAUGCAAGAAAAACAAGAUGAGAUGUUUGAACAAGGGAUGAUUACUACAGCCCAUCCCAAGAUUUCCGCCUCCGGCUUUAUUUCCUGAAGAGGACCUCCCCUUUAUCAUUCUACCUAUUGUUUUGUAACAUGAGCUGUGGGAUGUAAUCUAGCUGAUGAACAAAAACAGCCUUCCGUCUGUCAGUAAGCACAUAUAAGGGACGUGGAUGACUAGCCACAGCUUCAUUUCUCACGAUUACAUAUUUCUUAGAGGUUUGUUGUCAAUCGGGAGAACUUUAAGAUGAAAAAUGUAUGCAUCGGAACACUUUUUUUGCUUUGCAUCGUACCUGUUCUCCUAUGGCCAAUGGAAGAGUCACUGCAUCCACUGCCAGCAUCAUUGGCGGAAGAAGGAUUCGAAGUAGCUGGUCGGCAUCCGAGGGCAGUUCGUUCUACUCCAGCUACAGCAACUACCAGUAGCCGUAAAACCUCGACCAAAAGUCCAGUUCCGGCAGAGCGUAAGGUGUCCACUACGACUCACCAUACUGGCCCGACGCUCACUCCUACCCACCAUUCUCAAUUAAGGACAACGAAAAAAACCAAGUUAAA